AUCAGAUACUCCUUGGUCGAAAAAUUCUAAAAUACAACGGAUAUAUCAGUGACGUGGUGUAACAAAUCAAUCAAAUAUCUUUUUUUAGAGAUAUAUAUUCUAUCAUGAUUAUAAUUUUUUUUUAUUGUACUUUUGUUUAAAAAUAAAAAAAAUAUGAUUGAUUUGUUAUUGACAACGUGGUGUAAGUGUGACUGUGUAGAAUUCCUCG
rnacentral:lncRNA from 1 species